UCUCAGGUAAUUGGCUCACAUUUUCAAGGGGUGGCUUUUUCUCCUGGUGCUGUGUCUAGAACAUCAACCUGAACCUUUCCCCUAAUACGCAGCCACUUUAAAGCAGGAAAACACAUCAGUGACCAGGAUCUACAAUUGUGUUUCCAGGAAAUCUCAGGAGCUGAAGUGAUGCACUACCUAGAGUCCAUUGAAAAUUGGACUUCACGGUCAACUUGCUCCUUGCUAACAACUGAACAAACAAUUGAGGCAUUUGGCAGGCCAUGAGUGAGAGCCAGAGGUCAUUUUGAGAGGCUACGUUCAGCCCUUCAAUAAAUUUUAGGUAAGCCAUGUCAAGAAAGCGGUGAGGCUACAUCAUCACACUUCUGUUUGAUAUGCUGUGGUUCCACUUUUAUGCAACAAUCAUGCCCUAAGUAAAGAGCCAACCUACAUGGUCAAAAAGAAAGGGAAUGCCUUAAGUAACACAACGUAUAACUAACUCCUCGCUUCCUGGAUGGAAUUUAAAAUAGAGACUCCUGCUUUUUAACAGCAAACCACGGAGUGAUCAACAGUUGGGGUUGACCAACUGAGACACAUUGUCCCAUCUGAAGGCAUCCGGGACCAGGGAUCCCUCAGUCAACUGUCAGCCAGCCUCUAGGAGGAGAGCCAACAGGUUGACAUGUACUGGCCAGAGCCCUGUGGCAACCCCGACCAGACCAACAGAACCAGGCAGCAGCACUCACCCUGACUCAAAGUAUGGCAAGCUAAAUAGUCACGGUCACUGCCGUAUCACCAGCAGAUGGGGAAGAAACAGCACAGGCUGGUACCUGGGUCAUGUAAUACUGAGUGCAAAUAAAAAGGUUCCCAGUAUUGUUCUCAAUGGUCGACCUUCUGUAACGUCAUAAACAGAAAAGACUUCAGCAGGUUCACAGAUAAGAUAAAGAUAUACGAAUGAACAAUGGAGGCUGAACAAUGUGAUGAAAUGGGCUAAAAGUGGGUAAUUCACAACUGCCUGCAUAAAAAUUGCCAAUAACACUGAAAAUGUGCUCAACAGUAGAUUGAAACCGUAUCUACCGAAUGAUCUCAAUGAUGAAGACGGACAAUUCCAACUAUUGGUGAAGACGGGACAAGUGGAAUUUUCACACGUUGCUGAGAGUACACCAUUGGGCAACCUCUUUGGAAAACUUGCUGAAUCCUUAUAUACAAGGUCCUUCUGAAAUCCUGAGUUCAAAACACAUCACUCUGUAUGAUCAACCAAUGCAUUAUAGUACAGGGACUUUGCGUGGAUAUUUUUUAGCAUUUGUCCCUCACACCAGAAUUCUGUUUUACCAGAAAUUAUCACCAAGAUUAUGGACUUUACACUGGAAACACUGGAAAUGCCUUUUAUCUAAAGAGCCAUUGACAAUCUUUUUUUUUUUUUUCUCCAGUGGUUAGAUAGUAAAUAUUGCUGGCUUUACAUGCCCACUACUGAACUUUGCCAUCAUGGUGAGAAGGCGGUCAUAGAUAAUGUGCAAACAAAUGCAUAUCCUUGUUUUCCAAGAAUAGUCUAUUCAUAAAAACAGGUGGUAGGCUGCAUUUGGCCCAUGAGCCUUAGAUGGGAGAAGAUAAAGAAGAUGAAAAAAACUACAAUGCUGAGAGCGGUGUGUUUUUAUAAGGACCAGAGGUGGGAUGGAGAUUGCUUUGUUGAUUAAAGGCCGUUGGAGCUGGACCCUGCUGACUAGCAAAAGGAGCAGACCACGUUUCCAAAGGGGGCUUUUGGACCCUGGGCAAGGUGCAAGUCAUCUAUCCGGACUAUCUUUAAUUUCUGAAAAAGUCUUUUCAAUCCUGACACAAUUGCAUUCCGAAAUCAUCAGGUGUGAAGACCUGAUUGGAAGUCCAUUUGAACAACUGCCGGUGAUGAGCGACCUGCACUAAAUUUUCACAAUGCGUUGUAAAGACCGGAUUGUAUUCUCAGGGUAUUAGCAAGUGCUGAAGACAAGAAGGAGGCAAAAAGCAGUGCAUUGUCCAAGACCAGGUCCCCCCCCACCCCCCCGCACCGUUGUCACGCUACUGCAUUCUCAGUUUGCCAAAAGCUGUCGCAAAGUUCCUAUAACGUUGCAGGAGGAAAUACUAUGUGAUCUUUUUAAACAAGAAUGAUCUAUCUUUGGUAAAAUUUUAUUUCUUAAAAGGUGGUAGUUUGUGAGCUUAGGUGUGAAAGAAAAAAAAGAAAGCAUUUAUCAGUAUCAACAUUAUAUCUUUAAUAGACUCCAGUUGGGAACAUAUUUUUUGCUUUAUGUUUUGUUCAAAUAUCUAUCACUAAAAAUGCACUCUUUUUGAUACAAA